rnacentral:rRNA from 1 species
GACGAACGCUGGCGGCGUGCCUAAUACAUGCAAGUCGAACGCAUUUUCUUUCACCGUAGCUUGCUACACCGAAAGAAAAUGAGUGGCGAACGGGUGAGUAACACGUGGGUAACCUGCCCAUCAGCGGGGGAUAACACUUGGAAACAGGUGCUAAUACCGCAUAAUUCCAUUUACCGCAUGGUAGAUGGAUGAAAGGCGCUUUUGCGUCACUGAUGGAUGGACCCGCGGUGCAUUAGCUAGUUGGUGGGGUAACGGCCUACCAAGGCUGCGAUGCAUAGCCGACCUGAGAGGGUGAUCGGCCACACUGGGACUGGGACACGGCCAGACUCCUACGGGAGGCAGCAGUAGGGAAUCUUCGGCAAUGGACACAAGUCUGACCGAGCAACGCCGCGUGAGUGAAGAAGGUUUUCGGAUCGUAAAACUCUGUUGUUAGAGAAGAACAAGGAUGAGAGUGGAAAGUUCAUCCCUUGACGGUAUCUAACCAGAAAGCCACGGCUAACUACGUG